UACAGAGGUCUCAAGCGUUGUUCGGAUUCAUUGGGCGUAAAGGGUGCGUAGGUGGCGCCAUAAGUCAGGUGUGAAAACUCGAGGCUCAACCUCGAGAGGUCGGUGGAAACCGUCUGGCUAGAGUCCGGAAGAGGAGAGUGGAAUUCCUGGUGUAGCGGUGAAAUGCGCAGAUAUCAGGAGGAACGCCAGUGGCGAAGGCGAGUCCCUGGACAACUUCUGACGCUGAGGCACGAAAGCUAGGGGAGCAAACAGG
rnacentral:rRNA from 1 species